AUGAAAAUUACCCAAACCUUGAGAUGUUCUCAGAAGAUUCUUGGCCAGUGGGCUGGCGCAUCCUCUGUUGGGAAGUUUUUGCUAUCUAUUUCCUCACGGUGAUAGAUGGUGAAUGAAACAGAUGUUCUGAUAGCAAUUCAGUAUAAGGGUCUAUUUCCACUCACUUCUGGUGCUUUGAUAUUAUUUUUAAAAACCUGUUCCUUUAGCUCUUGUUGAGUUUUUAAAACCUACAAGAUCUUGGCUCCAUGGCCCAUUUCUUCAAUUGCAGAUAUUACUUUUGCAAGGAA
rnacentral:lncRNA from 1 species